AGAUUGAACGCUGGCGGCAGGCCUAACACAUGCAAGUCGAGCGGCAGCACGGGUACUUGUACCUGGUGGCGAGCGGCGGACGGGUGAGUAAUGCCUAGGAAUCUGCCUGGUAGUGGGGGAUAACGCUCGGAAACGGACGCUAAUACCGCAUACGUCCUACGGGAGAAAGCAGGGGACCUUCGGGCCUUGCGCUAUCAGAUGAGCCUAGGUCGGAUUAGCUAGUUGGUGGGGUAAUGGCUCACCAAGGCGACGAUCCGUAACUGGUCUGAGAGGAUGAUCAGUCACACUGGAACUGAGACACGGUCCAGACUCCUACGGGAGGCAGCAGUGGGAAUAGUUGGACAAUGGGCGAAAGCCUGAUCCAGCCAUGCCGCGUGUGUGAAGAAGGUCUUCGGAUUGUAAAGCUAACGUUUAAGUUGGGAAGAAGGCAGUUUAACCUAAGUAACGUAUCUUGUUUUCGACGUUUAACCGACAAGUAAACUAAAGCCAACCCGGUACUAAACCGUUCGUGUUA
rnacentral:rRNA from 1 species